rnacentral:rRNA from 1 species
UCGAGCGAGAAGACGUAGCAAUACGUUUGUAAAGCGGCGAACGGGUGAGGAAUACAUGGGUAACCUACCCUCGAGUGGGGAAUAACUAGCCGAAAGGUUAGCUAAUACCGCAUACGACUCUCGGUCUGCGGAUCGGGAGAGAAAGCGAUACCGUGGGUAUCGCGCUCUUGGAUGGGCUCAUGUCCUAUCAGCUUGUUGGUGAGGUAAUGGCUCACCAAGGCUUCGACGGGUAGCUGGUCUGAGAGGACGAUCAGCCACACUGGCACUGCGACACGGGCCAGACUCCUACGGGAGGCAGCAGUAAGGAAUAUUGCGCAAUGGGCGACAGCCUGACGCAGCGACGCCGCGUGGGGGAUGAAGGUCUUCGGAUUGUAAACCCCUUUCGGCAGGGAAGAUGGAACGGGUAACCGUUCGGACGGUACCUGCAGAAGCAGCCACGGCUAACUUCGUGCCAGCAGCCGCGGUAAUACGAAGGUGGCAAGCGUUGUUCGGAUUUACUGGGCGUACAGGGAGCGUAGGCGGUUGGGUAAGCCCUCCGUGAAAUCUCCGGGCCUAACCCGGAAAGGGCGGAGGGGACUGCUCGGCUAGAGGAUGGGAGAGGAGCGCGGAAUUCCCGGUGUAGCGGUGAAAUGCGUAGAGAUCGGGAGGAAGGCCGGUGGCGAAGGCGGCGCUCUGGAACAUUUCUGACGCUGAGGCUCGAAAGCGUGGGGAGCAAACAGGAUUAGAUACCCUGGUAGUCCACGCCUUAAACGAUGGAUACUAAGUGUCGGCGGGUUACCGCCGGUGCCGCAGCUAACGCAGUAAGUAUCCCGCCUGGGAAGUACGGCCGCAA